rnacentral:lncRNA from 1 species
UAACAUCACUGAUGACCUGCCUUUAACUUAAAAAUUAAGGGUUUAUUGUCAUUCUUUUGUAUCAUUACACACCAUUUUUCCUAUUUAACACUAAAGCUGCUUUGACUCAAUCUGUAUUGUUAAAAGCGCUGUAUGAAUAAAGGUGCGUGUGGCACCUGCAUGUAUUUCUCCAGCUGGUCCAUGGGCAUGGGGAAGUCCGGGUGGUUGUUGUUGUAGAGGGCGAUGUUGCGGGAGAGACACGGUGGUGAUGCGCCGAAUGUAUUCUCCCAGCUCCGCUCGCAUCUUCAGCCUGCUGUCACCCGAGAAGGACCACAGCACUGCGUAGAUCAGGUAUUUCUGCACGACAAAGGUUAAAGGUUAGCACUUGUUUUGUGACCCUGGACAACAAAACCAGUCAUAAGGGUCAAUUUUAUGAAAUUGAGAUUUAUACAUUAUCUGAAGCUGAAUAAAUACUCUCUCCAUUGAUGUGUGGUUUGUUAGGAGGACAAUAUUUGUCUGAGAUACAACUAUUUGAAAAUCUGGAAUCUGAGGGAGCAAAAAAAUCUAAAUAUUGAGAAAAUCAUCUUUAAAGUUGUUCAAAUGAAUUCUUAGCAAUGCAUAUUACUAAUCAAAAAUUAAGUUUUGAUAUAUUUACAGUAGGAGAUUUACUAAAUAUCUUCAUGAACAUGAUCUUUACUUAAUAUCCUAAUGAUUUUUGUCAUAAAAGAGAAAUGUAUAAUUGUGACCCAUACAAUGUAUUGUUGUCUAUUGCUACAAAUAUACCUGUGCUACUUAUGACUGCUUCUGUGCUGCAGGGACACAGAUUUAGUUUACAAUCACACUACAGUCAAGGCUUAAUUUAAAUCAGAAAUAUGAUGUUGAUUAUCACAGAGGAAUAAAGGGAUCAGAGAUCGGUGUGUUGAUCAAGUAAAGGUCAGAAUAACUGCAGUUAUAUCUCCAGAUGAACUCUUACUGGACUGAAGCAGCUCAGGUUUACUUGAUUCUCCAUCAAUCAUGUUUUAGAGUCUCAAAUCUGAUCAUCAGGAUCUUUUUGAGGAGCGUUUGUUUCCAGAAGCUUUACUUU